ACAUAAUUAUAAUUUGUUCUGUUUUUAUUUUGUUUUGUUAUUUGUAUGAAAAUUGGGAAAUUCAUGGAAGGGAAUUUGGGUCGACUUUAGAAAAAAUGUUUUAAGAAUGAGUAUUGAUGUAUAAGUAUUGAUGUUUAACUUUGGAUAAGGUAAAAUUGGAUAAGGAUUUGCUGAACUAAUAAUUUGAAUUGGAAUACAAGAAGGGGAGGUAUGAGGAGGUCAGGGAAAUAUGUUAUUGAAAAAUAAGUAUUGUGAACUCUAUGUGUUUUUAAACUCUUUUUCUUUUUCCUUUUUGAUUCUUUUUUAUUGUAUUAAUCUGAAAACUUUAAUAAAUAUCUUU